rnacentral:tRNA from 1 species
GCGCGCUAUUGGCUGAAUUUGGGGACCCAUUGGGUCACAGGUAGCUGAGGCGCGCAUAUCGGCCCCGGAGACAUAGAAGUCCUGCCUUCUUCGGGCGACGUGAGUAGCCUUCGUAAUGCGGGGGUCACAGGUUCGAGUCCUGUAAGCGGCACCA